rnacentral:rRNA from 1 species
UUAAGUUAUUAAGGGCGCACGGUGGAUGCCUUGGCACUAGAAGCCGAUGAAGGACGUUACUAACGACGAUAUGCUUUGGGGAGCUGUAAGUAAGCUUUGAUCCAGAGAUUUCCGAAUGGGGAAACCCAGCAUGAGUUAUGUCAUGUUAUCGAUAUGUGAAUACAUAGCAUAUCAGAAGGCACACCCGGAGAACUGAAACAUCUUAGUACCCGGAGGAAGAGAAAGAAAAUUCGAUUCCCUUAGUAGCGGCGAGCGAAACGGGAAGAGCCCAAACCAACAAGCUUGCUUGUUGGGGUUGUAGGACACUCUAUACGGAGUUACAAAGGACGACAUUAGACGAAUCAUCUGGAAAGAUGAAUCAAAGAAGGUAAUAAUCCUGUAGUCGAAAAUGUUGUCUCUCUUGAGUGGAUCCUGAGUACGACGGAGCACGUGAAAUUCCGUUGGAAUCUGGGAGGACCAUCUCCUAAGGCUAAAUACUCUCUAGUGACCGAUAGUGAACCAGUACCGUGAGGGAAAGGUGAAAAGCACCCCGGAAGGGGAGUGAAAUAGAACCUGAAACCGUGUGCUUACAAGUAGUCAGAGCCCGUUAAUGGGUGAUGGCGUGCCUUUUGUAGAAUGAACCGGCGAGUUACGAUUUGAUGCAAGGUUAAGCAGUAAAUGUGGAGCCGUAGCGAAAGCGAGUCUGAAUAGGGCGUUUAGUAUUUGGUCGUAGACCCGAAACCAGGUGAUCUACCCUUGGUCAGGUUGAAGUUCAGGUAACACUGAAUGGAGGACCGAACCGACUUACGUUGAAAAGUGAGCGGAUGAACUGAGGGUAGCGGAGAAAUUCCAAUCGAACCUGGAGAUAGCUGGUUCUCUCCGAAAUAGCUUUAGGGCUAGCCUCAAGUGAUGAUUAUUGGAGGUAGAGCACUGUUUGGACGAGGGGCCCCUCUCGGGUUACCGAAUUCAGACAAACUCCGAAUGCCAAUUAAUUUAACUUGGGAGUCAGAACAUGGGUGAUAAGGUCCGUGUUCGAAAGGGAAACAGCCCAGACCACCAGCUAAGGUCCCAAAAUAUAUGUUAAGUGGAAAAGGAUGUGGCGUUGCCCAGACAACUAGGAUGUUGGCUUAGAAGCAGCCAUCAUUUAAAGAGUGCGUAAUAGCUCACUAGUCGAGUGACACUGGCGCCGAAAAUGUACCGGGGCUAAACAUAUUACCGAAGCUGUGGAUUGUCCUUUGGACAAUGGUAGGAGAGCGUUCUAAGGGCGUUGAAGCAUGAUCGUAAGGACAUGUGGAGCGCUUAGAAGUGAGAAUGCCGGUGUGAGUAGCGAAAGACGGGUGAGAAUCCCGUCCACCGAUUGACUAAGGUUUCCAGAGGAAGGCUCGUCCGCUCUGGGUUAGUCGGGUCCUAAGCUGAGGCCGACAGGCGUAGGCGAUGGAUAACAGGUUGAUAUUCCUGUACCACCUAUAAUCGUUUUAAUCGAUGGGGGGACGCAGUAGGAUAGGCGAAGCGUGCGAUUGGAUUGCACGUCUAAGCAGUAAGGCUGAGUAUUAGGCAAAUCCGGUACUCAUUAAGGCUGAGCUGUGAUGGGGAGAAGACAUUGUGUCUUCGAGUCGUUGAUUUCCACACUGCCGAGAAAAGCCUCUAGAUAGAAAAUAGGUGCCGUACCGCAAACCGACACAGGUAGUCAAGAUGAGAAUUCUAAGGUGAGCGAGCGAACUCUCGUUAAGGAACUCGGCAAAAUGACCCCGUAACUUCGGGAGAAGGGGUGCUCUUUAGGGUUAACGCCCAGAAGAGCCGCAGUGAAUAGGCCCAAGCGACUGUUUAUCAAAAACACAGGUUCUGCUAAACCGUAAGGUGAUGUAUAGGGGCUGACGCCUGCCCGGUGCUGGAAGGUUAAGAGGAGUGGUUAGCUUCUGCGAAGCUACGAAUCGAAGCCCCAGUAAACGGCGGCCGUAACUAUAACGGUCCUAAGGUAGCGAAAUUCCUUGUCGGGUAAGUUCCGACCCGCACGAAAGGCGUAACGAUUUGGGCACUGUCUCAACGAGAGACUCGUGAAAUCAUAGUACCUGUGAAGAUGCAGGUUACCCGCGACAGGACGGAAAGACCCCGUGGAGCUUUACUGUAGCCUGAUAUUGAAAUUCGGCACAGCUUGUACAGGAUAGGUAGGAGCCUUUGAAACGUGAGCGCUAGCUUACGUGGAGGCGCUGGUGGGAUACUACCCUAGCUGUGUUGGCUUUCUAACCCGCACCACUU